AUGAACGCUGGCGGCGUGCCUCAUACAUGCAAGUCGAGCGAACAGAUGAGGAGCUUGCUCCUCUGACGUUAGCGGCGGACGGGUGAGUAACACGUGGAUAACCUACCUAUAAGACUGGGAUAACUUCGGGAAACCGGAGCUAAUACCGGAUAAUAUAUUGAACCGCAUGGUUCAAUAGUGAAAGACGGUUUUGCUGUCACUUAUAGAUGGAUCCGCGCCGCAUUAGCUAGUUGGUAAGGUAACGGCUUACCAAGGCAACGAUGCGUAGCCGACCUGAGAGGGUGAUCGGCCACACUGGAACUGAGACACGGUCCAGACUCCUACGGGAGGCAGCAGUAGGGAAUCUCCCGCAAUGGGCGAAAGCCUGACGGAGCAACGCCGCGUGAGUGAUGAAGGUCUUCGGAUCGUAAAACUCUGUUAUUAGGGAAGAACAAAUGUGUAAGUAACUAUGCACGUCUUGACGGUACCUAAUCAGAAAGCCACGGCUAACUACGUG
rnacentral:rRNA from 1 species